rnacentral:rRNA from 1 species
AAGAACCCCGGCGAGGGGAGUGAAAAAGAACCUGAAACCGUGUACGUACAAGCAGUGGGAGCCCCACCACUAAGCCAGUGGUGAACUCCACAUACGCAUCCUUUGCUGAGGAUACGGUUAACGGAGCGAAAGCGACGUUCAACCGCAAAAGAAGCAGAGGGGGCUUAGUGGUGGGGUGACUGCGUACCUUUUGUAUAAUGGGUCAGCGACUUAUAUUCUGUAGCAAGGUUAACCGAA